CCUACGGGUGGCUGCAGUGGGGAAUAUUGCACAAUGGGCGCAAGCCUGAUGCAGCCAUGCCGCGUGUGUGAAGAAGGCCUUCGGGUUGUAAAGCACUUUCAGCGGGGAGGAAGGCGUUAAGGUUAAUAACCUUGUCGAUUGACGUUACCCGCAGAAGAAGCACCGGCUAACUCCGUGCCAGCAGCCGCGGUAAUACGGAGGGUGCAAGCGUUAAUUGGAAUUACUGGGCGUAAAGCGCACGCAGGCGGUCUGUCAAGUCGGAUGUGAAAUCCCCGGGCUCAACCUGGGAACUGCAUUCGAAACUGGCAGGCUAGAGUCUUGUAGAGGGGGGUAGAAUUCCAGGUGUAGCGGUGAAAUGCGUAGAGAUCUGGAGGAAUGCCGGUGGCGAAGGCGGCCCCCUGGACAAAGACUGACGCUCAGGUGCGAGAGCGUGGGGAGCAAACAGGAUUAGAUACCCGAGUAGUC
rnacentral:rRNA from 1 species